UACGAAGGGUGCAAACGUUGCUCGGAAUCAUUGGGCGUAAAGCGCACGUAGGCGGCCUUAUAAGUCGGAUGUGAAAUCCCUCAGCUCAACUGAGGACGUGCAUUCGAAACUGCAAGGCUCGAGUAUGGAAGAGGGUCGCAGAAUUCCCGGUGUAGAGGUGAAAUUCGUAGAUAUCGGGAGGAAUACCAGUGGCGAAGGCGGCGACCUGGGCCAAUACUGACGCUGAGGUGCGAAAGCGUGGGGAGCAAACAGG
rnacentral:rRNA from 1 species